AUCAUAUGUAGCAACAGGAAUGGGUAACAGCAUAUAUUAUGUAUUUUGGCAGCUGGGAAGGUACUACUUCUAAUCUUGUUGGCGAGUUUCUUAAAAUUCCACUUUUUAAAAUUUGUUUUUGUUGUUUAAACAUCAGAAACCACUUUUUAGCCUAUAUCAUCAGUAUUGAGUAGAUAAAACCAAAGGUUUCAUAGAUCAACACUGGCUAUAAACACUUGAUAAGUGAUGGCGAUGUUCCAUUGGAAGAGAUCCCUCUGAAUACCUUUGCUUAUAUUUAGGUUUACAGGAAACAACAAUCUGGCUAGUCUAGGAAGCCAUGAAUACUGCAUUUGUGGUUUUGAAGCAGUGACCUCUGAAUCUCCUUCCAAGAAAUUUUGUGAUUUAAUGGAUUAUUGGGCCUUUUUUCACCCUAGCCUUGGAAACUUUACGUAUUUUAAAACUAAGACCUUAUAUUUCAUCUCAUCUCUAGUUUGAUCUUUUGAAGUACCUGUGAUAAGAUAUACAGUAAAUUAUGAAGCGUUUUUAAACUUUGGUCAUUGCUAUAUAGGAAUAAAGUCUCUUCUGACUUUACUAAAUGCCAUCUCAUUACUAUAAAAAUUAGUAUGCACCAUUUUGAGAUGUUCAGUCCUGAACAGGCUAACUUUCUGACUCUUAAUUUUUGAGAGUUGUUAAGACAGCUGGUAUCUCAAGACAGUUGUUGUGUAGUGAUUGGCCUUAAGUUUGGUAUUAUGUUGAUGAUACAGAAAAAACUACUAAACCAUCCUGAUGUAAAAAACCAUCCUAAAACUUCAGAGGUGGAAAGGAUCUUGGAGAUUGUGUAGUUCAGCUCUCAUUUUCACAAAUGAGGAAACUGAGGCUGGCACUAGAGACGGAAUCUGUGAUUAGGAAGUGAAAUGCCUUUCCUUUGCUCCUUUAAAACUGGCACUUGCUCUCAUUUGCCUGCAGAGAUUUCACCGAAGAGUGAAAAAAUUGUGCAAAGCUAAUCAUUUGGAACUGACUUUAUUAACCAUUACUAUUGAUAAUAAUAAUGACCAUAUUAGCAUUACUUUGUUAGGAGCAUUUUAAUUUUGACACACAGUGAACCACAAUAGAAUCUAGGUCUUGCAAAUAGUCCUGUCUUUAUAGAUAAAUAUUGAUAUUUUAUGUCCAUCUAAUGUGUCCUAUCAAUGUGGCCCCGCUAUGGUGGGACUAUUUAUUUUAUUACCAUAAUUUCUUCCCAAAAUAGUUAGAAAAAAGUUGGUUCCCUCUGUCACUUAAAAACCUGGUGCUAUCAAUGAUUGAUAUCAAUUGAUGAUUGGUUUUUCACCUUCCCCCCCCCCAAGAAAUGUUCUUCCUAUUGACCAUGGUGGUUAUUAAUAUAAUAUAUUAAUAUAAUACCACUUAAGGACAUGCAUCUCUUUAUCCAAUUUCUCCACAGCAGCAGCUUGACCAUGGGAUACACUUCUGCUUUUGUGUCAUGAUGACCAGUUCUGCUAGCCAUAGCCGAUCUGGUAUAAGAAUAAAUGGGAUAUAGAUGAUAUUAUUUCUUUUUUCCUUUUGGUUUGUGAAUUACUGAAAUCUCAAAAGCUACUGAAUUAUUCAAGUGGGAUUACUAGAGUAUUAAGUUUCAUUGAUAAAGGAACAAAUCUCAGUUGCUUUACCCUUACCUUCCUUAGGCCACAAAGUCUCCAGUGUUAUACACCAGCCUGGUUGUAAAUUAACAGUAAAGUGGGUGUGUGAGGGGGAGGAUAGCUGAUGUUACCUGGGAUGCUGGUAUACCCAUUAGUGAGAAGCACUGUACUGGUGUAAUGUUAUAAACAGUGAAAUAUAUGUAAUCUAGUCUGCAUGAGACUAAAAUAAUUGUGUGGGUUUUGUUUUGUUUUUUAAUUAUCCCUGUGAGGACAAAUAAGAGACAGCCACGCUGUGUCUACUAAUGCUUUUUGGAAUAUUUUUUGGGGGGGGGCUUGAAGUGAUUACUUCCUAUCAUUAACACUAGGUUUUGGGGAUAAAAACCCCAAACUUGGGUAGAUUAAGGGAAUUGUCUGUCUAUAAGCAAUCUAAGAGAAGGAAGUUGAAACUGUAAACUUAACAUUUAUGAGAGAAAGGGAAUGGAAAAGUGAAGAUUAACCAUAAAGUUUGAAUAAACAAAGUAUUGCCAAGCAUUGUUUUUUUUUCCCAUGAAAUAUGUAUUGUAUUUAGAAUUUAACACAGAGAAUGGCAACAUUAGGCAAAAACUGCCCAGUCUGAUGGGAAGAAGAGAAAAUUUUACUUUAAAGAUAUUUAAGGUUGAGCUAUGAAGAAAAGUAGGAUCCAAGUUUUAAAUGACAGGUAGUCUAUGCAUUGAUGACAUUUUAUAGUUUGCAGGAUAGGCAGGUCCAAGAAGCUGAUACCCCUGAGCAGUUUGUUUCUGCUAGACUGGAGUGUCUGGGCAUAUUAGCUAUUGACCGGUUCCUAUGGAAUAAACAAAAGGCAAUCAUGUUCAGGGAUGUCCAUUUCCUUGAAAUAAAAUGCAGUCUUCUGUGGCUUCAAAGUGUGCACCAAAACAGACAGAACCAGUGAUGACCAUAAAUCAGAAAAACAUGCUUACUGUUUAUUCUUGAAGAAAAUUAUCAAUUCAAGUAGCCAUCCUAGGAAUUUUUUCCUCUUACUGGCAUUUUUAUCCCUCGAGAUCUAUCAGCUCCUGCUGUAUUUCCAACUUCUUCUCUUGGAGUCAUGUUACAUACAAUUGUAUAAAGAAGACUGUACUGUAUUAAAGUCACGUGAAAAGACAUUGAACUCUUGUCUGGUUUUUACAGUGUUUUCUACCUUCCAGACCUUCCCAAUGCCUGCAGCAGACUUUGAAUGCUGGUUAUUUAAGUGCCC
ensembl:lncRNA